CCUCCAAAUUAUCAUUUUUCCUCCCUUUUUCUUCUUAUUCUUCCUAUCUCUAAUCUUCUGUUCUUCCUACCGAACGAACAGCAGAAAUCUCUCUCGAUCAUUUCUUCUUCGUUUCAUCUUCAUCAAAAUUCACACCCUAAAUCUCCAUUAAUAUUUACUCAAUUUAAACUUUAGAGUACAGAGUUCGGAUUUGGUUGAUUGAAUAUUCAAUCUUCUCUAACUUGUAACCCUGAAUUGAAAAUUGGGUAAAUUGAUUGAACCACCACCAUCACCAAGUUCGUCCCCUGCUUUCUAAUCGAAGAUUGAGUGAAAUCGUUGAAUUAAUUCCACGUUGAUUACUUUACAUAGAAUCAUCAACCAUUUAUUCAGAGAUCCCAAUUUAUUUUUUUCUAAACGAAGAUUGCAAACUUCAGAGUUCGGUAAAAAAAUUCUGAUCGAAGAACAGUUUGAGGUGAUGGAUUAGAAUACAUAUGGAACUGGGUUACAGAUGCUCAUGGUGGUGAUGUUGUGCUGGCUGUCAAGGGUUUGUGUUCAUGUUUUGAAGCAGGAACUGGGAUGGUGCUGUUGCAGGUGGAUUUGAAGCUUAAUUUGUUUUUCUGCUGAACCGGCAAAUAAUAUGGUUGCUAAAGCUACUUGGAGUGCCUCCUCAUCUAAACAUUGGAAUUUAUUCCUUUUUAACAUGCAGGCAGUAAUUGUAAUACCGCAUCAACGACGUUAGAUGGUGUUGACGUGAUGGGAGAGAGAUUAGUAGAUGAGGUGCAUAGUGUUCUGUUGUUUGAUCUCAACUUUACCUUGUUUCCUGCUGUGUAACCAAGGUGUUGUCCGUGGUAAAACAGAGACCAGAGCUUCAAAAAACAUUCUUUCGUGGCUCACUCAUUAGGUGGCCUAGUAGCGAGAUAUGUUAUUGGUAGGCUCUAUCCUUCACCCCGGGAGCACCAUCCUUCUGAAGGAAAUGGAGAUUGUAGUCACGACGGAUCUGGAAGUGCAUGCCUGGAAAAGAAAUCGAUGGUAAAAAUUGUUGGAUUGGAUCCUAUGAACUUCAUAACUGUUGCAACACCGGGCAUAGACAGCUAAUUUGCAUAUACUAUUUUCUUUAGAAUUAUUAGGUCAUUGAUCUAAGAGAUGACAUUUUUCUUUAUAUUAUGACUACUGACCCGUGGACAUAGUUCGGACUCUGAUCUCGGACUCUUCUUUAUUCAUAAAAGUGUGUGGGAUUGUCCAUGCGCUUACAGUAUGUGUUAGCUAGAGUCCCUUUCAUUCAUAUAUUCCUGUUUUGUGUACUUAUAAAAACCUCACAGAAAUCAUUUUCUUUUAUUCAUCAGCUUAUUAUUGUAUGUUAUCUGUUACCGAUGCUCCUUUUUAACA